GCCUUACUGAGCACCUGUUCUGUGCAAGGUCCUGGCUAAACCAAGUGGGUGGGAUAAAUAAGUCCUGACAUAGUUUGCAUUCUACUUGGAGAGGCUGAUGCAUCAGUACCACUGUGAGAUGCAUGUAAUCAGAGUGGUUUGCAAACAGUGCCCCAAGAUGGUGGAGGACAAGCAUAGUACUCUCCACCUGGGGCCUCACUGGGGCCACAUUUGCUAUGAGUCCAGGAGAGUCAGAAGUGCAUUCCUAGGUAGGGAAGUGGGCUGAGGAGGGAAAUCUGGGAUGGUGAUAGAGAGUUCCACCCAAUUUGACUUUGAUAAGAAAGGGAAAGUACUGCAAGGUACUGAGCUGACUAUUUAGGAUGUGUACGCUUAGAACUAGAAAAUGUCCUGUUUUCUAAAAACAAUGAAAUACUCGAAUAUGGGGGAAAUUGUGUAUGCAUGUUAGUUGGGGGGCUUUCAACUAGGGCUCAUUAGGAAGAAACCUCACCAAUCUUUCUUUCACUAUGUGGCAGAUAGUUGAACUAUUUGAUUUUACAGCAAAGAACUUACAAAAAGAGUGCCUUUGUUCCCAGGUUGAAAGCACAAGAAAAUACCAAAAACUUGUAUCAUGCCAGCUUCUAGGUAGAAAAUCAUUCAUAUCAUUUUCCGGUUACUAAUUUUGUUAGUGGUAAUCAUUUAUGCUCUUUCCUCACCCUAGGGGUGCUGACCCUCAUCAUAGGAGAGGCUUGACUUGUGGAGUGAGGAUCCAUUUCCCCCAUCCAAGCCAAACAGCUGCAGGGAAAUGGGGCAGUUUGACCCGAGCGGCAGCUCUGUCCUAGGAGAAGACUGUGCUGUAACCUGGGGACAAAGACUGAAGACAAAGCUCAAAGCAGUGCUCUCUAAAAGCAAGGUGUCCCUCGAUGUCUGAAGAAGUUACAGUGUUGACCUAUAGGCUUUUAGGGGAGAACAGGAGGAUGCCUUGUGCCUGUUUCCAGUCUUUCCAUGAGAACGACCAGUUGGUGUUUACACAUGAAAGGGAACUGAUGUCCUAUGCCUGUACAUCAGAGGGAAGUACCUGUUUUACUUUGAAUUCAAUAGGCAGCUAAUGAGUUUUCCAUUCCUUCUGAUCUCAAGCUGCUGUCACGUCCACUAGUGGGUGAUCUGAUGUUCUUUCUGUUGCAAAAGAAGACUUUCUGAACUCCUGUGUGAGUGGUUAUUUAUGAAGGUUGGAGUUUGAAAAUAAU
rnacentral:lncRNA from 1 species